rnacentral:rRNA from 1 species
GGCAGGCCUACACAUGCAAGUCGAGCGGAAACGAUCCUAGCUUGCUAGGAGGCGUCGAGCGGCGGACGGGUGAGUAAUGCAUAGGAAUCUGCCCGGUAGUGGGGGAUAACUUGAGGAAACUCAAGCUAAUACCGCAUACGCCCUACGGGGGAAAGCAGGGGCUCUUCGGACCUUGCGCUAUCGGAUGAGCUUAUGUCGGAUUAGCUGGUUGGUGAGGUAACGGCUCACCAAGGCGACGAUCCGUAGCUGGUCUGAGAGGAUGAUCAGCCACAUCGGGACUGAGACACGGCCCGAACUCCUACGGGAGGCAGCAGUGGGGAAUAUUGGACAAUGGGGGCAACCCUGAUCCAGCCAUGCCGCGUGUGUGAAGAAGGCCCUCGGGUUGUAAAGCACUUUCAGCGAGGAAGAAUGCUUGUCGGUUAAUACCCGGCAAGGGAGACRUCACUCGCAGAAGAAGCACCGGCUAACUCCGUGCCAGCAGCCGCGGUAAUACGGAGGGUGCGAGCGUUAAUCGGAAUUACUGGGCGUAAAGCGUGCGUAGGCGGCUUGAUAAGCCGGUUGUGAAAGCCCCGGGCUCAACCUGGGAACGGCAUCCGGAACUGUUAGGCUAGAGUGCAGGAGAGGAAGGUAGAAUUCCCGGUGUAGCGGUGAAAUGCGUAGAGAUCGGGARGAAUACCAGUGGCGAAGGCGGCCUUCUGGACUGACACUGACGCUGAGGUACGAAAGCGUGGUUAGCAACAAGAUUAGAUACCCUGGUAGUCACGCCGUAACGAUGUCAACUACCGUUGGGGUCCUCGAGACUUUUGUGCGCAGUUACGCACUAAUCCACGCCUGGGAGUACGGCCGCCAGGUWAAACCUAAUAAUUACGGGGUCCCCCAAACCGGGAACAUGUGGUUAAAUCAAUGCCCGCAAAAACUUCCCCCUUGAACCGGCGAAUUUCAAAAGGAAUGGGGGCCUUCGGGAGCCCACAAAAGGCGCCGGUUGCCCAACCUCGGUGAAAAUUGG